GUCGCUGGCGCUUCUGAAAGGAAUGCGCGAGAGGAAAGUCCGGGCAGCACAGGGCGCUCCACUUCCGAAAGUAGAAGCUAUUGGUGACAGUAGGUGCCGGCAGAAGAAAACAACCGCCUUUCUUCGGAGGGGUAAGGGUGAGAAGGUGGUGUAAGAGACCACCAGCCAGCGGGUGAUCGUUGGGCUGUGCCGACUGGAGGCUGCAAGUUCAUGUAUACCAUCGUCUGAGGGUUGCCCGCCCGAGUAAUACGAUGGAGGGUAGAACGCUUGAGCCACGGGGUGACUCGUGGACUAGAUAAAUGACAAACGCCAUGCCUGCAUGGUACAGAACCCGGCUUAUAGGG
rnacentral:RNase_P_RNA from 1 species